rnacentral:tRNA from 1 species
ACCGAAAUAGCUCAUUUUGGAGAGCGUUAGACUAUAGAUCGAAAGGUCCCUGGUUCGAUCCCUGGAAGCCUAUGGCG